AGCGAACGCUGGCGGCAGGCCUAACACAUGCAAGUCGAACGAACUCUUCGGAGUUAGUGGCGGACGGGUGAGUAACACGUGGGAACGUGCCUUUAGGUUCGGAAUAACUCAGGGAAACUUGUGCUAAUACCGAAUGUGCCCUUCGGGGGAAAGAUUUAUCGCCUUUAGAGCGGCCCGCGUCUGAUUAGCUAGUUGGUGAGGUAAAGGCUCACCAAGGCGACGAUCAGUAGCUGGUCUGAGAGGAUGAUCAGCCACAUUGGGACUGAGACACGGCCCAAACUCCUACGGGAGGCAGCAGUGGGGAAUCUUGCGCAAUGGGCGAAGGCCUGACGCAGCCAUGCCGCGUGAAUGAUGAAGGUCUUAGGAUUGUAAAAUUCUUUCACCGGGGACGAUAAUGACGGUACCCGGAGAAGAAGCCCCGGCUAACUUCGUG
rnacentral:rRNA from 1 species